GCCUCUUUAGCUCAGUGGCAGAGCACUGGUCUUGUAAACCAGGGGUCGUGAGUUCAAUCCUCACAGGGGGCA
rfam:Drosophila mojavensis strain TSC#15081-1352.22 Ctg01_9422, whole genome shotgun sequence.